UACGUAGGGGGCAAGCGUUGUCCGGAAUCAUUGGGCGUAAAGCGCGUGUAGGCGGCCCGGUAAGUCCGCUGUGAAGUCGGGGCUCAACCCUCGAAUGCCGGUGGAUACUGUCGGGCUAGAGUGCGGGAGAGGCGAGUGGAAUUCCUGGUGUAGCGGUGAAAUGCGCAGAUAUCAGGAGGAACACCAAUUGCGAAGGCAGCUCGCUGGAACGUAACUGACGCUGGAGAACGCGAAAGCGUGGGAGCAAACAGG
rnacentral:rRNA from 1 species